rnacentral:rRNA from 1 species
AUGCAGUCGAGGGGUAACAUGGGUAGCAAUAUCUGAUGACGACCGGCAAACGGGUGCGGAACAUGUACGCAAUCUUCCCAAAACUGGUGAAUAGCCCUCCGAAAGGGGGAUUAAUACACCGUAAUAUAAUGAAGUGGCAUCACUUUAUUAUUAUAGCUCCGGCGGUUUUGGAUGAGCGUGCACCUGAUUAGGUAGUUGGUGGGGUAACGGCUCACCAAGCCUACGAUCAGUAACUGGUGUGAGAGCACGACCAGUCACACGGGCACUGAGACACGGGCCCGACUCCUACGGGAGGCAGCAGUAAGGAAUAUUGGUCAAUGGACGAAAGUCUGAACCAGCCAUGCCGCGUGAAGGAUUAAGGCCCUCUGGGUUGUAAACUUCUUUUAUAUGGGACGAAAAAAGGGAAUUCUUUCUCACUUGACGGUACCAUAAGAAUAAGCACCGGCUAACUCCGUGCCAGCAGCCGCGGUAAUACGGAGGGUGCAAGCGUCAUCCGGAUUUACUGGGUUUAAAGGGAGCGUAGGUGGGCAGGUAAGUCAGUGGUGAAAUCUCUGGGCUUAACCCGGAAACUGCCAUUGAUACUAUUUGUCUUGAAUUAUCUGGAGGUAAGCGGAAUAUGUCAUGUAGCGGUGAAAUGCUUAGAUAUGACAUAGAACACCCAUUGCGAAGGCAGCUUACUACGGAUAUAUUGACACUGAGGCUCGAAAGCGUGGGGAUCAAACAGGAUUAGAUACCCUGGUAGUCCACGCCUUAUACGAUGGAUACUCGACAUCAGCGA